UACGUAGGGGGCUGGCGUUGUCCGGAAUCAUUGGGCGUAAAGCGCGUGUAGGCGGUCCGGUAAGUCCGCUGUGAAAGUCGGAGGCUCAACCCUCGGAUGCCGGUGGAUACUGUCGGGCUUGAGUACGGAAGAGGCGAGUGGAAUUCCUGGUGUAGCGGUGAAAUGCGCAGAUAUCAGGAGGAACACCAAUUGCGAAGGCAGCUCGCUGGGACGUUACUGACGCUGAGACGCGAAAGCGUGGGGAGCAAACAGG
rnacentral:rRNA from 1 species